rnacentral:ncRNA from 6 species
CACCGCCCGUCGCUACUACCGAUUGA